GUAGGGGGGCCAGCGUUGUCCGGGAUUCAUUGGGCGUAAAGAGCGUGUAGGCGGUUCAAUAGGUCCGAUGUGAAAACUCGAGGGCUCAACCUCGAGAGGUCGUCGGAAACCAUUGAACUAGAGUCCCGGAAGAGGAGAGUGGAAUUCCUGGUGUAGCGGUGAAAUGCGCAGAUAUCAGGAAGAACACCGAUGGCGAAGGCAGCUCUCUGGGACGGUACUGACGCUAAGACGCGAAAGCGUGGGGAGCGAACAGGAUUAGAUACCCUGGUAGUCCACGCCGUAAACGAUGGGCACUAGGUGUGGGUGGUGUCGACUCCAUCCGUGCCGAAGCUAACGCAUUAAGUGCCCCGCCUGGGGAGUACGGCCGCAAGGCUA
rnacentral:rRNA from 1 species